AAAAUGUUGUGUGAUCUUGAAUUCAAGGUUCUUGAUAUUUGAUAUCGGUUUUUCAAGGAUGCACAAUAUUUUGGUAUGCAUAUAUAUGUAUUCUCAUGUUAUAAAAUUUUCAUUUAAGAUUAAAACUUUACAAUUGCAUUUGACUGAUAUAGCACGAAAAACUCAACUAGUGUGCAUAUGAGCGCGUUAGUCGUUCGCGUUUAUUUUAAUGCAGAGUAAAGUUUUUCGCAGUCGAAAAUUAAUUAAUCGCGUGCGCGGAAAUCUCUAAUUGUGAAACGUGAUCGCAUUUAGCUGGGGUGUAUGGUAUGUGGCAUUAAAGCGCAUUUUCUAGUAAGUAAAAAUAGUUUCCACUAAUUUUUCAUUUUUUAAUCUUUAUUUAUUAUUCGUGUACCCAAAUAUCUGCAAUUUAAAUUAUAACUUUAUAGGUAUGACAUUUCAAAACUGGUUGUAUAGAAUUAUGGACACUCGUAAUAUUCAUUGGCUAAAUUCACAUUAACUUGCAAAAUUGUGACAUGCACAGAUUGCACAAUUAUGGUUACCUUGCCAAUUUUCCAACGUCCGCAUCGUUGCGACUUGAAUGUCCGCUCGGCUUUAUUACGAAGCGUCGACUCGGCAAUUUACAUUCAAACUUCGAACUGGCGUUGAUUAAAGAUCCAAAAUACUGAACGGAAAAGUUCGUGGGAUGUCGAAGUGCGAAGGGGAGCUCAAGAAUGUUGAGAUUCCGUACAUUUACUUCGAAGAUACCUUUCAAGAUGAUCAAUACCAAUCCGUGAAACUGAAAGGUGUCUCAAAUCAAUUGGAAAAGUGGCCGAACAAUGUCUUCAUUUCAUUCGUGAUAGCGUGUCUCGUCAUAAGUCUGAUGCUUUGUCCUUUUGUCAUGAUAAUAUUUCAAUCAUCCAGUGACCAUUGCUGUGAACAGAAGAUUUUCGAAGAUGAACAUCCGUUUAAUAUUUAUUUUGUGAAGGAAGCUUCGCAGCUUUGGUCCACAAGAGAUUUCUGCUACAUCGAAGCUGCAGCUAGAAAACAACCAGAACUGAAUAUACAUCUGAUCAACUUGAUGCGCACUUCCAAUGCAUUUAAUAUACCGGAAGUUCAUCUUGAAAUGGCACUGGCUACUCAAAACGCUAAUAUUCACGUUGAGAAUUUAUUGGUCGAUGAAUUUUUUAGCAAGUCAAGAUUAUCAAACAUUACAAAACAUUUGAGUAAUGAAUUAUUAUUAAUGGCAGCAAAGGCAUACUUACUCUGGAACUCUUCUGGUGUUGCAAUGCAUCCUAGUGCUUAUUGCAACUUGUCGACCAUUCAUAAAUGUCGAUGGAUUAAAGAGAGAAAUCAAGACUGCACGCUUAACAAAUCCAUUACGAUCGAUCUGAUGAACGAUUUGCAAGCAACACAAGUGCAUUGUCAAGCAUUUCUAGGAUUCUUUUUGCAAGAAAUAUCAAAAAAUGCCACUCAAAGUUUAAAGGAUGCAUUGGAUAAAUUUUGUCCAAGGAUUGAUAAUUGUCCCGAAGUACGAGUGCUUAAUUUAGAAUCACCUUGCUCGAUCGACGUUUUCGAUUGUCCUACUGUGUACACAAUUGAAAAUUCUUGGGCGCUUACAUUAUAAUUAAAGAAUCUGCUCGCAGAAACAUCAACGAGAAAGAUAUUUAUAAAAGUUUAAUUAAAAAACUUUUUAAUUAAAAAGCAUUAGGCUAUAAACUUUAUAUAUGCAAAAUGUUUAUAAUAAGAAAUACAGGUUCGAUGCUCGUAAAGCCACAAAACACUGAACCAUGUCCAUAUUUCCACAACUAAAGAUAAACAAUUUAAAGUACCAACGUCAUAUACAAGUCUUUAUUACGAAAAUAAAUUAAUGAUAAUAAAUUGAAUAAAGAAUAAAAGAAGAAAGCAUGAGUUAGAUAUAUAAAUUAGAAAUAGAAUUAUAAGAAAAAUGUUUGUAUUACAUUUCUUUGUAAGAUAAUGGAAGGAUAAUAAAAGAACACUUACGAAUCAGUGAAAGUAGUUCUGCAGCAUAAAGUAGCGCGAUUUGCAGUUGAAGAUAUUUGAAUAAGUACCAAAUUGUUAUAACCGCAAAGCAAGAAUCGCACACCAAUUCUCUCAGAAAAAGACUUAUUAGAGGCAAACUGAAUUGUGGUCGUUUCUAAAAUUAAUGUACCAUUAUUAAAGUGUGUAUGUGUGUAGUAUAACUUAAUGACACUUACUAAAAUAAUAGAAUAAAUAAGCAUGCCAACUGCAA
rnacentral:misc_RNA from 1 species